UAGUUAGCCCACUGCAGCAGGA
rnacentral:misc_RNA from 1 species